CUCUCCUCACCUGGUUUCCCGCCCUGCCCUUCCCUCUCAAUUGAAGCCACCAAUGGAAGUGCAUUUUGCAUCAACUUUGAUUGAUGAGAGUUUAGGUUUUCAGCUUGAUUUGAGUCGCUAUGCUAAUCUAUCUCUUUUCUUUACAUGGUUUUGCACUCCUAUUUUCUCUCUUCUGCACAGUGGUGUAGCUCAAUUGGAAUUCAAUUUACCGUCGUUGGUUUUUUAUUAUCUUCCAGGAUUUCGGCUCUUUUGACGACCUUUUGCUGGCGCAACCACCUGAUGUUCCAUGGCUUUGGUUGCGUGAUGUUGCUCCAGUCGUGAUUUGCGAUUAUUCUCUAUGAUUCGUAGUUUUGUUUCUUUUCAGAGACCCUGCUGGUUUUUUUUUUUUUUUUUGGGGAAGCACUUUUUGAUUAGGUUUAAGUGCAUGGCGGAGCUUCCUCCUAUUUUUGAUUAGUGGUUUUAUGAUGUGAAUGUUUAGGAAUGUUGUGUGUGUUUGAUUGCCUUCGACUAGGCACGAUCGAAUAGCCUUUGUCAGGGUUAUAUGACCCUUCAGCUGGUUCUUAAGCAGUUAUGGUUUUCCUUCACUGCAUUCAUUUUCGUAUAGCUAAAUGUUUUUUUCAAAUGGUGUCGAUAUCGACUUUGUCUGGGUCCAUCUUUUUUUGGCCUUCUGCUGUUCUGUUUCUUUAGAAUCUGUCUCUACAGCUUGGGAAAAAAAGAGUGUACUGACACCCUUUCAUCUAAAGCUAGAUUGCUGAAACUUCGUCCGCUGUUACCUGCAACAUUUUUUCUUCCAGGUUUGUGCCUGUUCUUUCUCAUUUCGAUUUGGUUCUUAUAUUUUUUUAAGCUUACGUCAAGAAAGCUUCCUAACAAGUAGUCAGCCCAUAACUUUAUUUUGACCUUAACUUGGUUGGUGCGCCUGCCUUUUUAUGCACUGUUCCUUCUGUGUCGUUUAAUCCAGGUUAGUUUCUUUUCCUUUUUCAUUGAUCUGCUCUUUGCUUAAGGGAAGGAGGGUGUCAUUUAAUGUUUGUUAACAUUAGUUACUGAGUAGAUGAAAACCAAACACACAAGAUGAGAUAAACAGUUAUGUUCUAAUGUUUCCAAUCUAUCAAAAUUGAGUUUCUUCUUAAAAUAAAGUGCAUUCAAGUCUUCAUUCCCACAUCACCCUCCAAUUGUCCUUGUCGUUUUGCAGCUCACAGUAAAUUAGGUGCCUGGAAUACUUCAAUUCACUCCACUGCUGCUGCCAUCAAUUCCGCUCUAUACUAUGAAGUAUGAGCAUGGCUGGCUAGGAGGAUUUGUGGGUAUAUUAACAAAUUAGCAAGUUGCUUCUUUGAUCUAGAUGUUUAGUAAAGGUGAUGCCAGGGGAAAUUAUAAGGGUGGUCUUGGCAUCCGGACUGCUAGAGAAGCCAUCUUUAGAUGGCAGCAAAAGGAUUUCUUCUAUGGCAUGCUAGAAUUUCUGCAGACAUUUGCAACUACCUUUUCCUCUCCCGUGUUUACAAGUAUCCUGUAUCGUCAAAGAAUGAUGAGUCACACAAUAUAGGCUAACAAGUUUUAACAUUACAGUUAAUUGCUCUAAUUCUUCAUCUGCACAUUACCUUCCUUUCUCAAAGAGUUGGCUUGGAAAUACUUACCAUCUUAUAUAUUCCAUCUUUUUGUUGUUUUCGAUUGUGGUUUGUUUUUGUUGUUGUUGUUGAGGAUGGUUGCAUUCCAUAGCGGCCUCUUACCUACUUUUGUUCUAUGUUUGCUCAUGUGCUGUUCAUUAUCAGGUUGUCAUUCUUCAUUGCUUGCUGCAUUUUUUAGCUGCAGUAAUUUCUUUUUCAUUUUUUGGCCUUCUGCUGUUCUGUUUCUUUAGAAUCUGUGUCUACAGAUUAGUUUCCCACUCCUUUUCUAUGCCAUCCGAAGCAGAUAUCAACAGCAACUGACAACCCUCAUAAUUCAACAUGUCUGGUGGGUCAGCAGGAACAAACUUAUUGCCCAAAUUGGCCUUGUAGAGAGCAAGCCUGCAUAAACAAUGCCCUUCUGUCGAACUUGCUUCGCAAGGUUAAGCACGAGGAUUUCUAUACAAUUGCAAUUGAUGAACUAGAAUCUGUUACCACGAGAUACAAAUUCAGCUCCAUUGCAUGGCUUUGCGUUUUGGUUCAAUGUUGAAUUUGGUUGGCCUGCAGCAUCUCCGAAUAAGCAUCAGUCUUGCCAACUGCACCAUCAAGCAAUCCUUCAAUGGACGUUAGUAAGAGGAAGAAAAGAACAAAUCAAAAUGAGGCACUUGUGCUAUCCACUGCACCCGAGGACCCUCCAACACAUUGGCAACAUACUUUGAUAUACUUUUUCGACCCAAUAGAUGUGGAGCAAGAUCAGCUCAUUGAAGGAUCAGCUACAGUUCUGAAUUCUGAUCAUUGAAGGAUCAGCCACUAACACAAAGCAAAGAAACCGUUGAUUCAUGAAUAUUCACCUUCAAUACACGUGAGCCAGAAGUCCUUUAGGCUUAAUAGAUUCAUCUCCUCCAUCGAAUUAGGAUCAGAUUACAUAUAUUUAUAUAUUUUCUGCCUAUUGAUCAUAUUUUCUUUGAUCAUUGUCAUACGGUUCUGGUGGGUGGUUCUUUGUAAAGGAGUCCGUGACGAGGUGAUUUUUUUAAGAAUGUGUAACAGGUUUGAUGAGUCUCAACUAUUCUCACAAGUUAGUCCUACCUCAAUCUCAAGCUCUUUUGUCUGCAAAAACUAGCAGACUUUCUUUUUCAAAGGAGCUCCUCAAUUGAAUGUGCAGAUCCAUGAAUUAUUAAGGAAAUUUACCCUCAGAACAUGGAAAUGAAACUAACAUUAAAGACAAAUAUAGGUGAACUGAUUCGUGAAAAUUGAUUUUAAACAGUACUUGGGAUGUAGGCUAUGUAAGAAGAGCAUGUGAUGUUACUGUUGUAUUUUACCCAUUUUAUAUACUCACUUUUGCAA